rnacentral:tRNA from 1 species
GGAGACAUGGCUCAGUGGUUAAGAGCACUGACUGCUCUUCCAGAGGUCCUGAGUUCAAUUCCCAGCAACCACA